ACUCCUACGGGAGGCAGCAGUGGGGAAUAUUGCACAAUGGGGGAAACCCUGAUGCAGCCAUGCCGCGUGUGUGAAGAAGGCCUUCGGGUUUGUAAAUGCACUUUCAGUAGGGAGGAAGGUAGUGUAGUUAACACCUGCAUUAUUUGACGUUACCUACAGAAGAAGCACCGGCUAACUCCGUGCCAGCAGCCGCGGUAAUACGGAGGGUGCGA
rnacentral:rRNA from 1 species